GACGAACGCUGGCGGCGUGCUUAACACAUGCAAGUCGAACGGAAAGGCCCUGCUUUUGUGGGGUGCUCGAGUGGCGAACGGGUGAGUAACACGUGAGUAACCUGCCCUUGACUUUGGGAUAACUUCAGGAAACUGGGGCUAAUAUCGGAUAGGAGCUCCUGCUGCAUGGUGGGGGGUGGAAAGUUUCGGCGGUUGGGGAUGGACUCGCGGCUUAUGAGCUUGUUGGUGGGGUAGUGGCUUACCAAGGCUUUGAAGGGUAGCCGGCCUGGGAGGGUGACCGGCCACAUUGGGACUGAGGUACGGACCAGACUCCUACGGGAGGCAGCAGUGGGGAAUAUUGCACAAUGGGCGGAAGCCUGAUGCAGCAGCGCCGCGUGCGGGAUGACGGCCUUCGGGUUGUAAACCGCUUUCGCCUGUGACGAAGCGUGAGUGACGGUAAUGGGUAAAGAAGCACCGGCUAACUACGUG
rnacentral:rRNA from 1 species